UGGGGAAUAUUGGACAAUGGGCGCAAGCCUGAUCCAGCCAUGCCGCGUGUGUGAAGAAGGCCUUUUGGUUGUAAAGCACUUUAAGCGAGGAGGAGGCUACUUGGAUUAAUACUCUAGGAUAGUGGACGUUACUCGCAGAAUAAGCACCGGCUAACUCUGUGCCAGCAGCCGCGGUAAUACAGAGGGUGCGAGCGUUAAUCGGAUUUACUGGGCGUAAAGCGUGCGUAGGCGGCUUCUUAAGUCGGAUGUGAAAUCCCUGAGCUUAACUUGGGAAUUGCAUUCGAUACUGGGAAGCUAGAGUAUGGGAGAGGAUGGUAGAAUUCCAGGUGUAGCGGUGAAAUGCGUAGAGAUCUGGAGGAAUACCGAUGGCGAAGGCAGCCAUCUGGCCUAAUACUGACGCUGAGGUACGAAAGCAUGGGGAGCAAACAGG
rnacentral:rRNA from 1 species